rnacentral:tRNA from 2 species
GCCCACAUAGCUCUAGUGGUAGAGCGCACCCUUGGUAAGGGUGAGGUCAUCAGUUCGAAUCUGAUUGUGGGCACCA